CAUGACAUUGAACACAUUUUCUUGAUAGCAGAACAAUCUGAAAGUUAUGAUUCUUUCUGUGCAGUUGUAUUUCAAGGGCUGCCGCCGGAGCUGCUGCCCUGCUCCAUGGCCAUUAUUCAUGGGCUGGCCAGGAGUGGCGCUGGCGCUGCUCCCCCGAAACAUACA
rnacentral:sRNA from 1 species